rnacentral:misc_RNA from 1 species
AACGCAUCUUGCACCCUCGGGCAUUCCCGAGGGUAUGUCUGUCUGAGUGUCAUUUGAACUCUCAAAGCCCCCCGCCUCAAUCAACGGGGCGGGGCCGCUUUGGAUCCUGGGUGCUCGCGGCAUCGCUCGCCUCAAAUGGAAUUUGGCAGUCUCCUCUGAAGCCAUCGUCAGGUUUGACCUGGAGUGAUAGAAGUCUUUCGAGAUCUCUGGGGAUUCGUCCUAGCGACGUGCCUGGCUUGGUGGGAGGGGCUGCCUGAUCAAAUUCUUUUGACGUUUUCGACCUCAGAUCAGGCAGGACUACCCGCUGAACUUAA